rnacentral:rRNA from 1 species
CCGUGCGUUGGUGACUCUGAAUAACUCUGCCGAUCGCAGCACCGGCGACGUAUCUUUCAAGUGUCUGCCUUAUCAACUUUCGAUGGUAGUUUAUGUGCCUACCAUGGUUGUAACGGGUAACGGAGAAUAAGGGUUCGACUCCGGAGAGGGAGCCUGAGAAACGGCUACCACAU